rnacentral:rRNA from 1 species
AUUGAACGCUGGCGGCAGGCCUAACACAUGCAAGUCGAGCGGAUGAAGGGAGCUUGCUCCUGGAUUCAGCGGCGGACGGGUGAGUAAUGCCUAGGAAUCUGCCUGGUAGUGGGGGAUAACGUCCGGAAACGGGCGCUAAUACCGCAUACGUCCUGAGGGAGAAAGUGGGGGAUCUUCGAACCUCACGCUAUCAGAUGAGCCUAGGUCGGAUUAGCUAGUUGGUGGGGUAAAGGCCUACCAAGGCGACGAUCCGUAACUGGUCUGAGAGGAUGAUCAGUCACACUGGAACUGAGACACGGUCCAGACUCCUACGGGAGGCAGCAGUGGGGAAUAUUGGACAAUGGGCGAAAGCCUGAUCCAGCCAUGCCGCGUGUGUGAAGAAGGUCUUCGGAUUUUAAAGCACUUUAAGUUGGGAGGAAGGGCAGUAAGUUAAUACCUUGCUGUUUUGACGUUACCAACAGAAUAAGCACCGGCUAACUUCGUG